CCUACGGGAGGCAGCAGUGAGGAAUAUUGGUCAAUGGACGAGAGUCUGAACCAGCCAAGUAGCGUGAAGGAUGACUGCCCUAUGGGUUGUAAACUUCUUUUAUAUGGGAAUAAAAUGUUCCACGUGUGGUCUUUUGUAUGUACCAUAUGAAUAAGGAUCGGCUAACUCCGUGCCAGCAGCCGCGGUAAUACGGAGGAUCCGAGCGUUAUCCGGAUUUAUUGGGUUUAAAGGGGGCGUAGGUUGAUUGUUAAGUCAGUGGUGAAAGUUUGGGGCUCAACCGUAAAAUUGCAGUUGAAACUGGCAGUCUUGAGUACAGUAGAGGUGGGCGGAAUUCGUGGUGUAGCGGUGAAAUGCUUAGAUAUCACGAAGAACUCCGAUUGCGAAGGCAGCUCACUGAACUGCAACUGACACUGAGGCUCGAAAGUGUGGGUAUCAAACAGGAUUAGAUACCCCUGUAGUC
rnacentral:rRNA from 1 species